rnacentral:rRNA from 1 species
UACGUAGGGGGCUAGCGUUAUCCGGAAUUACUGGGCGUAAAGGGCGCGUAGGCGGUGUGUCAAGUCAGGCGUGAAAGCCCCGGGCUCAACCUGGGAACCGCGCUUGAGACUGGCACGCUCGAGUCCGGGAGAGGAUGGUGGAAUUCCCAGUGUAGAGGUGAAAUUCGUAGAUAUUGGGAAGAACACCGAUGGCGAAGGCAGCCAUCUGGACCGGCACUGACGCUGAGGCGCGAAAGCGUGGGGAGCAAACAGG